AUGGCAGCUAGAUGUAAAAAAAAUGGUCUGAGUGUACGAACGGAAGAUGUGCGUAUCAUUUUACAUCACUUGGACCCGGUAGGUGUGUCUCUGCGGAGAGCAAGAUGUCUUCGCAGGCGUGCUUAUUAUGCUGCGGGUCCAAACUUCAUUUGGCACUUAGAUGGCUAUGAUAAACUCAAGUCGUUUGGGCUUUGUAUAAGCGGUUGUAUUUGUGUUUUUUCCAGACGUAUGAUUUGGCUGAAUCUGUAUAACACAAAUAAUAACCCCAGAGUCAUCGGUGGCUACUUUCUCGAGGUAGUAGAACAAUUUGCUGGCUGUCCUCGAUUUGUUAGAGGAGAUUAUGGGACAGAGAAUGGACACAUCCGCAAUUUCCAAACAUUUUUCAGGCGCCAUUCUCCUGACAGCGAUAGAUCUUAUAUCGAUGGAGUCAGUACAGCGAACCAAAGAAUUGAAUGUUGGUGGGGUUACCUAAGAAGACACCAUAUGCAUUACUGGAUCGAGUGAUUAAAAGACCUACAGGAUCAUGGAAAUUUUAGUGGAAACUUCAUCGAUAGAAGCUUGGUCCAGUUUUGUUUCCUUGCAUUAAUUCAGAACUGUGUCAUGUCAUGCAUAUUAAUGAAAGUAGUCCGGCAGCGUACAGAACGGAAGGUACAAUAUGGAAUUUAAAAGGACAAACUCGAUAUGGCCUUUCGAAUGUGGAACAAUCACCACAUUAGACGUUCGUCUAAUGUUAUGGUGCCAUUUGGCCGACCAGAAAAUAUGUACUUCUUCCCGUCAUUGUGGAACGCAGAGAAUCAGAUUGUAGCAGUUUCAGAGGCUGAUAUGGCAGCGUGUUCUAGAGAAGCUGAAAUUUCUAUCAGUUAUUCCUUGUGAUCAAGAUGUGUAUGAAGUUUGCGUGGCUAUCAUGCAGGAGCACAACCUUACACCCGCACAGACCUGUCAAGAGGCUACAGAUUUAUAUUUAUAUCUUCAAAGAGAAAUACUGGCGACACUUUAAAAGAAAGGACUGACAUUCUAUCGUUUUAUGUUAAAUGGCAUGUAUAAGUACACUG